rnacentral:lncRNA from 1 species
UCUGAGAGUUGCACACGUUCCCAGAGGCCACAGGCAGUCAGCACAACUUAAAUAAAUUGGGCACAUUUGAAUCAAUAAAUAAAUGCAUAUGUCUCCACCCACUCCAGUACCAUGUGCAUGGACUAGACUCUGGGGAAAGUCCUAAGGAAGGCCUGAAAAUCACCGCAAAGCAGCAGGAAAAGUCCUUCUAAGGACAAGGUGAAGUGGGACACCCAGCUACCUGUGAGAUGAGUCAGCCACACCUCGAAGGUCCUACACUCAUUGAAGGAAGAGAGCUCAUCUCUGAGUCCUCCCCACAACCCAGCCAGAAUGCGUCACACAUUAUUGACAUGAUCCAUUUGGUAAAAUGUGACCUGGGAACUUGGUCUGACCAGCAAAACCACGUCCAUGGAUAGGGUUUGUGACCUUGGAUUGUUCCUUGUCUUUCUGAGCCUCUAGUUCUAUAAACUGAGGUUCGGAAGAUUUGGUUAACUUCUCAAAGCCUGAGCGCCUCGUCAGAAAAAUUAGCCUUCCUUCUUGUGAGAGGAAACAAGAUGGCAUAGGCACUGCCUCUAGAUGCCACCUGCCACAUAGUAUGUGCACAAUAAAUGUCAGCUCCUUCCCUACUCUGAAGUGUGA